AAUAGCUCUGAAAUUGAAGGCCUUAUCAGGAAAUUAUGUUUUUGGGCUUUCUGUGAGUUGGGUUGUAGAGGGGAAAAACGAAGGAGGGGGGGAAUUUGGAGACCGAUGAUGAUUUCUGGGUUUGCUUAUAGGGUUUGUGAAAUAUGGGAUUAGGAAAGGGAGAGUCUUGGGAUAUGGGCAAACCAAAGAGUAGGAAGAAGAAAAAUGAUGCUAUGGAGGAGACUGGGUGUUGGGUUUGGUUGAGGUUUAUUGGCAGCUGUAUUUCUUCAAGAUGUAAAGUGGAUAGCUCUAUUAGUGGCAUCAGUACUCAUUGUGAUUGACAAGAAUGCACUGAAGUUCAAAACGAAACUGUUGGAGCAUAUGGACCUAAUGCGAAGGGUGUACGAUGGUGCAACGGCAAUCGGGAAAUUUGCAUGGACACCAAGGGCAACGUUCGAACCUGUCGCCACGGAGGACAAUCCUUUGCUGGUAGACGAAGAAGACUGCGAAGACAGCAGUGGUUUGCCCCCUUUCCAGCCAUCCGCGCAGCAUGCACACACUGUCCACCACAGUCCUGCGCAAGAGGAGGAUACCCCAAUCGCUGUACAUGCUGCGUCAUCAGCAAUUCACGGUGAUGACACACCUACGAGUGGCGGGAGCAAACGCAAAUUCAGUCGCACAACACC